UGUGCCGUGUUUACAAGGUUGCCAGGUAACGGACCGGGGAUUUGGUCCGUACGCGGAAGUGACGUGCUCUGUGCCCGAGGUCUAUUUACUAGACACGGACACAGACGCGUCGUAAAUGAUCGGCUUUACUAUAUAUAUGACAGCCGGGGGAUUUGUGUGCACUUGUAACAAUUUUGGUGCUCUGGCCCCUCCAUAAUGCCAUUGUCCGGGCGUGCUGUGAUCACGUAAUUUGAAGGAGCUGGGCGCGUGGGCGGCCGGUGUCAUGGACGGACCGGAGGAGGUAUAAAGAUUCCAAGAUUGACCCCAAUGUGGUUGCUAAUAAGAUGCUUGGAAGUUCCCUUUGAUUGGAACUACCAAGGUGUCUGAGGAUUGUCAUACUGGAGGAGCAGAGAGAACAAGGCCACAUACAUGAAACUUACAUAUUCAAAGUGUCUCACUUUAACAAGGCGGUAGGUAUGUGACAUGCAAGAUAUACCUUUGCCACGAACAGACCACGGCAUAACGAAAAAUAAAUAAAUAUGAUUGACAAGGAAGUCAGUCCUGCAGCCUGGUUCAGCUAGAACUGCCAAGCCUAGCAUCUGAGGUGUGUUUGCUGUGGCAUAUAAUAACUAUGUACUAUAUGGAUUGGUUUCCAAAACACUCCUGAAUAUAUCUUUGACGUUGCGUCUAACUGCCUCAUAUCAUCAUCUCUGACAUUUGCAUAUUUGGGGUUCAUUUUGCACUCGAUAUAGGCUAUGGAUAAGGUCAGAAUCCUGAAUAAUGUUCAAGAAAAUUCCUUUUGCGCAUUUCAUUGAGAUCUUCACAAUAUGUGGCAAACAAUCCUGGGUAUUGGGCUAAAAAAAAUCUACAGUAAAAUAAUCUAAAAUUUUUAGGAGUUUUAAGGAUAGUGAUUCCAAUUGCGGCUCCAGAGCAGGUGAUGCAGUUCAGUUCAAAUAUCAAACUGUCACCAACUGCCAUUUCAAACUGACUCACUGGCAGUUGAUGUCUCCCCUAUUUUAAUUUAGAACUGAGCUUCAGCCCCAACUCUGGAGCUGCCAUUGGCGAUUUCUGGUUUUAUCCAUAGCAUAUAUAAAUAUAGAUUUCUAUAUGUAUCCACAUAUGUACAUGUAUAUACAUAUUCAUACAUACAAAUAUUUACAGAUUGUGUGUGUAUAUAUAAAUAUAUAUAUUUACCAACAUAGAUAUGUAUACACAGGACACACUGACAUGACUAGGGAACUCUCAGAGUCUACUUUUUAUUUAACUUUCAGUUUGUUUCUUAACUUUAUUCCUGGAAGAAUAGCAGAAUACCAAGUAUCAGACAGUUAAGUAGCUUACUUCCUUCUUUGGAUUGCUUAACCACCCCUUUUAAUCUAGAUGUGAAAAGCUUAUUCUUAUUUUAACACAUGUAAAAAAAAAUAUAUAUAUAUUAUUUAAUAACAUGUGGCAAACAGCAAUAUAUGCUGUAAGCCUUAGCAGUCAACCAGUAAUUAUCAUCCAGUGGCAACAAACCUUAUGAUUAGUUGCCAUUGGUUACAACAUAUCAAUUUUUAAAGAUGCAGAUUAUUAGCUAUACAUUGAUGUUUGCAUCAUUUGCUGAAUCCACAAACCUCCUUUUUCACAGGACUGGUUUAAUAAAUACUGACUCAGAUUGUUACCUGUAAGUCUUUCCUGUGAUUCUUAAUCCAUUUUCUGGAAGAAGCAUUUAAUAUUACAAUCUUAUCUAUGAUUGUGCAUCAAUAAAGUAGAUUUGGUCCAUUUCAAUAACAACUUGAAACUUUUGUCACUGCAGAACUUUAGUAUAUAUAUAUAUAUAUAUAUAUAUAUAUAUAUAUUCUAAAGUUCUGCAGUGACACAUCUCUUUGGGCUUUGGUGGGAAACCCACUACUGUUCCCUUGACACAGAUCCCUACAGUUUUAAUUCUUCAGACCAUGGUGGCAGAAGUAGGAAGAAACUAUUUAGUUAUGUCUUCAUAUGAAAGGUCAAAGUUUCAAAUUUUUCUAGCUUAUUAUAAAGUGGUAACAGUUUAAUAAAAAGGUCAAAAGAUUUUAUAAUUUUUUUUCAUUAAUCGACAAAGUUAUUAGUUUAACAUUGUUGUACAUUGCAUAAUAUUAUGAGGAUGACCACAGUGUUUAAACCAUUGAUAAAAUACAUAAACUAAGGUAUUUUUAAACUGGAGCUUUAUAGAAAAUGUUAAAUAAUAUUUGUGUAUUUUUGUUAAGUAUGACAACAGAUUCCUAUUUAUAUUCAAAAUGUCUCAUUUGUCAUUUUCCAGGGUAAUAAUAAAAAAACUCUCUCAAAAAUAAAUGUAUCUAAAGGUGG